rfam:Oryza brachyantha chromosome 9, whole genome shotgun sequence.
AAUAACUUCAUUUUUUGUUUCUCCAUGUCCAACGUUUGACCAUUCGUCUUAUUUGAAAAAUUUGUACAAAAAUUUAAAAAAUUAAUCAUGCAUAAAGUACUAUUCAUAUUUUAUCAUCUAGUAAUAAUAAAAAUAUUAAUCGCAAAAAAAAUUUCAAUAAGACGAAGAGUCAAAACAUUGUACCAAAAAACUGAAAAAUGAAGUUAUU